GACGAACGCUGGCGGCAUGCCUAACACAUGCAAGUCGAGCGAGCAGAUCCCUUCGGGGUGAAGCUAGCGGCGGACGGGUGAGUAACACGUGGGCAACCUGCCUCAUAGAGGGGAAUAGCCUUCCGAAAGGAAGAUUAAUACCGCAUAAGAUUGUAGCUUCGCAUGAAGCAGCAAUUAAAGGAGUAAUCCGCUAUGAGAUGGGCCCGCGGCGCAUUAGCUAGUUGGUGAGGUAACGGCUCACCAAGGCGACGAUGCGUAGCCGACCUGAGAGGGUGAUCGGCCACAUUGGGACUGAGACACGGCCCAGACUCCUACGGGAGGCAGCAGUGGGGAAUAUUGCACAAUGGGGGAAACCCUGAUGCAGCAAUGCCGCGUGAGUGAUGACGGCCUUCGGGUUGUAAAGCUCUGUCUUCGGGGACGAUAAUGACGGUACCCGAGGAGGAAGCCACGGCUAACUACGUGCCAGCCGCCGCAGUAA
rnacentral:rRNA from 1 species